GAUGAACGCUGGCGGCGUGCCUAAUACAUGCAAGUCGAACGGAGUAUGUAGCAAUAUGUACUCAGUGGCGAACGGGCGAGUAACGCGUUGGUGACCUGCCCCGAAGAGAGGGAUAACAGUUCGAAAGGAUUGCUAAUACCCCAUGUGGUCACAGGGAUUAGAUGCCUUGUGACUAAACGGAGAAUUUCGCUUCGGGAGGGACCUGCGUCCCAUCAGCUGGUUGGUAGGGUAACGGCCUACCAAGGCUAUGACGGGUAGGGGACCUGAGAGGGUGGACCCCCGCACUGGCACUGAAACACGGGCCAGACACCUACGGGUGGCUG
rnacentral:rRNA from 1 species